AAUCAACGCUGGCGGCGUGCCUCAGACAUGCAAGUCGAACGAGAACCUCCCUUCGGGGGAGGGGGACAGUGGCGCACGGGUGAGUAACACGUGGGUAAUUUACCUUUGGGUGGGGAACAACAGCCGGAAACGGCUGCUAAUACCGCAUAAUGCAGCGGCUCGACAUCGAGACAGUUGUUAAAGCGGGGGAUCGCAAGACCUCGCGCCUGAAGAGAAGCCUGCGGCGGAUUAGCAGUUGGUAGGGUAAUGGCCUACCAAGGCGACGAUCUGUAACCGGCCUGAGAGGGCGGUCGGUCACACUGACACUGACAUACGGGUCAGACUCCUACGGGAGGCAGCAGUCGGGAAUUUUGGGCAAUGGGCGAAAGCCUGACCCAGCAACCGCCGCGUGAAGGAUGAAG
rnacentral:rRNA from 1 species